CAAGCAGCAGCAGCAACAACAGCAGCAGCAGCAACAGCAGCAGCAGCAGGCCAUCACCAACGACAAUAUUCAUAAACUCAGAAACAAUCAGCAGUUUCCAAGGAAAGCCUGACAUUGAGGAAGAGAUUAAAAAGAUGAAAGAGAAGUUGUCUGAAUUCUCAAGCAAGCCGGAAUUUUAAACAAUCUUCACCAAUUGAUUAAGUGUUUCCUCAACGUCUCACAGAAGAAACUCUGUUGUUGAAGAACAAUCUGAAGAAGAUCCUCAGGGUUGUCCCUAAUGUUCUUAAUUUAAUGAAUAACCCUUUGUAAAAUAAUCUCUGGUGGUUCUGAAAGAAUCCCCAUAACAAAACCGACCUUCUUUAUUAGCUUGUUAAGCUUCUUCAACAACAGACAUCACACACUAAACAACAGAGAACAUCUGCAGCAUCCUUCUACAAACACUGGAGGACCUAACCUUCUUCAAGAAACACAGUAUGUCUCUUUUCUAUAGGCACUAUCCUGCAUACGAUCUUUUUCAGACUGUUUUGUGUCAGGGAUUGUGUAAUGGUAAGAAUAUCUCAUCAGGUAUGAUAAAAUGAUGUGUGCAUCACAUGACAUGACAGUUUUAUAUAGGGAACAGAACCAUAGCCACUCCAUGGCUCUAAAUAUCUCUGAUCACGUUAUUUGACUCAUAUAUUCUUUUUAACAUGAUGUAACUCAAAUACUUACUUGUCAUAUGAUGCUGCACAACAUAUUUCUGUUUAUCAGCAUAUGUAAUUUACAGUUUUUAUUGUUUGCUUUGACGUAGCAGUCAACUCAAAAAAUACAUUUUUCAAAACAGUUAACG